UCUACGGGUGGCAGCAGUGAGGAAUAUUGGUCAAUGGGCGUAAGCCUGAACCAGCCAAGUCGCGUGAAGGAUGACGGUUCUAUGGAUCGUAAACCUCUUUUAUAAGGGAAUAAAGUGAGGGACGUGUCCCGUUUUGCAUGUACCUUAUGAAUAAGGAUCGGCUAACUCCGUGCCAGCAGCCGCGGUAAUACGGGGGAUCCGAGCGUUAUCCGGAUUUAUUGGGUUUAAAGGGUGCGUAGGCGGCAUUUUAAGUCAGAGGUGAAAGUUUGUGGCUCAACCAUAUAAUUGCAUUUGAAACUGGGAGGCUUGAGUAUGGUUGAGGUAGGCGGAAGGCGUGGUGUAGCGGUGAAAUGCUUAGAUAUCACGAAGAACCCCGAUUGCGAAGGCAGCCUGCCAAGCCAUGACUGACGCUGAUGCACGAAAGCGUGGGGAUCAAACAGGAUUAGAUACCCCUGUAGUC
rnacentral:rRNA from 1 species